rnacentral:rRNA from 1 species
AUUGAACGCUGGCGGCAGGCCUAACACAUGCAAGUCGAGCGAGCGGCGGACGGGUGAGUACUGUAUGGGAAUCUGCCUGAUGGUGGGGGAUAACUACUGGCAACGGUAUCUAAUCUCGCAUCCCAUCAGAUGACCCCAUAUGGGCUUCGCUUGUUGGUGAGGUAACGGCUCACCUGGGCGACGAUCCCUAGCUGGUCUGAGAGGAGGAUCAGCCACACGGGAACUGAGACACGGCCCAGACUCCUACGGGAGGCAGCAGUGGGGAAUAUUGCACAAUGGGCGCAAGCCUGAUGCAGCCAUGCCGCGUGUAUGAAGAAGGCCGUCGGGUUGUAAAGUACUUUCAGUCGGGAGGCGUUACCGACAGAAGAAGCACCGGCUAACUCCGUGCCAGCAGCCGCGGUAAUAC